rnacentral:misc_RNA from 1 species
UCCGGCUUAUCACCGGCAGUUUCCUCAGAGUGCUCAGCAUAACCUGUUAGCAACAGAGGACGAGGGUUGCGCUCGUUGCGGGACUUAACCCAACAUCUCACGACACGAGCUGACGACAGCCAUGCAGCACCUGUGCUCCUCCCACCCGAAGUGAAAGAAUACGUUUCUGCAUUCUAUAGAGGGCAUGUCAAGGCCUGGUAAGGUUCUUCGCGUUGCCUCGAAUUAAACCACAUGUUCCACCGCUUGUGCGGGUCCCCGUCAAUUCCUUUGAGUUUUAAUCUUGCGACCGUACUCCCCAGGCGGGAUGCUUAACGCGUUAGCUGCGCCACUGAGAGGUAACCCCCCAACGGCUAGCAUCCAUCGUUUACAGUGCGGACUAC